GGAGGAAAAGAAACUAACAAGGAUUCCCCUAGUAACUGCGAGUGAAGCGGGAAGAGCUCAAAUUUUGAAUCUGGCGGUCUUCGGCCGUCCGAGUUGUAAUCUAGAGAAGCGUCUUCCGCGCUGGWGCCGUGUACAAGUCUCCUGGAAGGGAGCGUCACAGAGGGUGAGAAUCCCGUCUUUGACACGGACCGCCAGUGCUAUGUGAUGCGCUCUCGACGAGUCGAGUUGUUUGGGAAUGCAGCUCAAAAUGGGUGGUAAAUUCCAUCUAAAGCUAAAUACAGGCGAGAGACCGAUAGCGAACAAGUACCGUGAGGGAAAGAUGAAAAGAACUUUGGAAAGAGAGUUAAACAGUACGUGAAAUUGCUGAAAGGGAAACGCUUGAUGUCAGUCGCGUCUGCUGGGGAUCAACCUUGCUUUGCGCUGGGUGUAUUUCCUGGUCGACGGGUCAGCAUCAGUCUUGAUCGCCGUACAAGGGCAAGGGGAACGUGGCACUCUUCGGAGUGUGUUAUAGCCUCUCGUCGUAUGCGGCGUUCAGGACUGAGGAACUCAGCACGGCCUCGCGUUUGUGCUUAGGAUGCUGGCAUAAUGGCCUUAAGCGACCCGUCUUGAAACACGGACCAAGGAGUCUAACAUGCCUGCGAGUGUUUGGGUGGCAAACCCGAGCGCGCAACGAAAGUGAAAGUCGAGACCUCUGUCAUGGAGGGCAUCGACGCCCCGGACCUGAGUCUUUGACGACGGAUCUGCGGUAGAGCAUGCAUGUUGGGACCC
rnacentral:rRNA from 1 species